GAUGAACGCUGGCGGCGUGCCUAAUACAUGCAAGUCGAACGAACAGACGAGGAGCUUGCUCCUCUGACGUUAGCGGCGGACGGGUGAGUAACACGUGGAUAACCUACCUAUAAGACUGGGAUAACUUCGGGAAACCGGCGCUAAUACCGGAUAAUAUAUUGAACCGCAUGGUGCAAUAGUGAAAGACGGUUUUGCUGUCACUUAUAGAUGGAUCCGCGCCGCAUUAGCUGGUUGGUAAGGUAACGGCUUACCAAGGCAACGAUGCGUAGCCGACCUGAGAGGGGGAUAGGCCACAUGGGAACUGAGACACGGUCCAUACUCCUACGGGAGGCAGCAGUAGGGAACCGUCCGCAAUGGGCGAAAGCCUGACGGAGCAACGCCGCGUGAGUGAUGAAGGUCCUCGGAGCGUAAAACUCUGUUAUUAGGGAAGAACAAAUGUGUAAGUAACUAUGCACGUCUUGACGGUACCUAAUCAGAAAGCCACGGCUAACUACGUG
rnacentral:rRNA from 1 species